GAUGAACGCUAGCGGCAGGCCUAACACAUGCAAGUCGAGGGGCAGCACAGGUAGCAAUACUGGGUGGCGACCGGCGGAUGGGUGCGUAACGCGUAUGCAACCUACCAUUGAUUGGGGCAUAGCCCGAAGAAAUUCGGACUUAAUACUCCAUAAUAUUCAUCAAAGGCAUCUUUUAUGAAUUAAAGCUUUUGCGAUCAAUGAUGGGCAUGCGUGACAUUAGUUAGUUGGUGAGGUAACGGCUCACCAAAACGAUGAUGUCUAGGGGUUCUGAGAGGAUUAUCCCCCACACUGGUACUGAGACACGGACCAGACUCCUACGGGAGGCAGCAGUGAGGAAUAUUGGUCAAUGGACGCAAGUCUGAACCAGCCAUGCCGCGUGCAGGAUGACGGCCCUAUGGGUUGUAAACUGCUUUUCCACGGGAAGAACCCUCCGACGUGUCGGAGACUGACGGUACCGUGGGAAUAAGCAUCGGCUAACUCCGUG
rnacentral:rRNA from 1 species